GUUUAUUUGGAGUUAUAAAUGAUUUGGCCUGCCCCCUGAUCAUUAGUUAAAGGGCCGCAGUAUUAUAACUGUGCAAAGGUAGCAUAAUCAUUAGGUUUUUAAUUAGAAUCUUGUAUGAAUGGUCGGACAAAAGAGAAGCUCUCUUUAUAUUAAAUUUGAAUUUAACUUUUAAGUGAAAAGGCUUAAAUACACUAAAGGGACGAUAAGACCCUAUAAAACUUUACAUUAUAAUUACAUUUUAGUAAAUUUAUAAAUAAAGAUUUAAUUUAAUUAUUUGUUAGGCUGGGGAGGCAUAAAUGAAUAUUAUUUAAACUGUUUAAAUAGUUAAUACAUUAAUUGGUGGGUAAGAAUAAAAGAUCCUUUAUUAAGAUUAAUAGAUUAAGUUACUUUAGGGAUAACAGCGUAAUUUCUUUUGAGAGUUCUUAUCGAAAAAGAAGAUUGCGACCUCGAUGUUGAAUUAAAAUAUUCUAUAUAAUGAAGAGGUUAUAUAAGAAGGUCUGUUCGACCUUUAAAAUUUUACAUGAUUUGAGUUCAGACCGGUGUGAG
rnacentral:rRNA from 1 species